UGUCCAUUAAGGGCUGGACCGGCCUCGAUGUCGUUGUUAAUAAGCCAUCGGACAUAAGGCUGGUAGGUAGAGGGUUCGCAGUCCGGUACUGGCUUCCACCCAGAGCGAAAUUUUAACGACUCAAUGGCUGUGACAGACAUUCAUUACUUUCUAUUGAAAGUUCGCAAGAUCAAGGGGUCCAACCUAAACCGUAUGACACCUGUUUGAACUUCGUAUACCACUACCAAAAUGGCGGAUAAAGCUCGCUUCGAUACACGACGUAAUGGGGAGAUACAAAAAGAGGCUAGUUAAGUUAAGCAUUUGCCAAUAACGAAAGAGGAAAGUUGUUUCCCGUCUUGACACCUAGACGAUCCAGUUCUGGCAAAAGGCUGUGUAAUCGUCGUACCUCAGACUUCACAAAUUGCACAAAUAAAUCUUUCCUCAAUCCAUUUAAGAAAGCAUCUUCCAUAUCAACACCUAUAGAUGUAAAUCCUACAUCCAACAAGGAAUUUCCACCACCACCACAGCAGAGAUCAUCACAAAAAAAAGGAGAAAAGCGAUUUAGGAAGAUUUUGUCAUUCGCAUCUCAGAGUGUAAAUGACAGUGAUGAUAAUCAUACAUUUCAAGUGUUAGAUGAACCGUCUCUUGACGCAGACAUGUAUACUGAUGAUAUAACAGAAACAAUGUUACUCUUCAGAAGCAGUGUUUAAAAUGGCUUUUGUUCCACAAAAAACCCAAAACAAAACAUUUCCUAUGUAUUAUUUAAAGAUACGCUAAAAUGGCACUGUCACGGUAAUUCAUCCUGAAUGAGGUAUUCUGACGCCAACAAGGACUUGUUUUGGACAGGAACUCUCUUUUUUUAAGGUCAGUUUAUCAGAUUCAUGAGCGGGUUUUCUCGCCGGGAUAUAUCCUGGACCACCUCAAGGAGUUCAACCUGCACGUGCCAACUACAAGGUGGAUGAAGGAAAGAUACUUCCUUCGUUAUGACUUGGAAUCAAGGACAAAUGCUCGUGUUCAGAUGUUACAUGCAAUUAAAAUGUACACAUAAACCAAAUUUCAACUA
rnacentral:lncRNA from 1 species